UGAGGAAUAUUGCGCAAUGGGCGAAAGCCUGACGCAGCGACGCCACGUGAGCGAUGAAGUCUUUCGGGAUGUAAAGCUCUGUCAAGAGGAACGAUUAUGACGGUACCUCUAAAGGAAGCCCCGGCUAACUACGUGCCAGCAGCCGCGGUAAUACGUAGGGGGCAAGCGUUAUCCGGAUUUAUUGGGCAUAAAGCGCGCGUAGGCGGUAUAUUAAGUCAGAUGUUAAAUACUUCAGCUCAACUGAAGCCCGCAUUUGAAACUAAUAUACUAGAGUUUAGUAGAGGAAAGCGGAACUCACAGUGUAGCGGUGAAAUGCGUAGAUAUUGUGAGGAACACCAGUUGCGAAGGCGGCUUUCUGGACUAAUACUGACGCUGAGGUGCGAAAGCGUGGGGAGCGAACGGG
rnacentral:rRNA from 1 species